rnacentral:rRNA from 1 species
AAUAGGAUGCCACUUUCACAACUCUCAUCUGAUCUCUGAAGCUAAGCAGGGUUAGACCUCAUUAGUACUUGGAUGGGAGACUGUGAUGGAAAUGUAAGUAUAUUC